UGGCUUAGACAGUAAAGCACCUGUCUACAAUGCAGGAGACCCGGGUUCAAUCCCUGG
rnacentral:tRNA from 1 species